AGUGGGGAAUUUUGGACAAUGGGGGCAACCCUGAUCCAGCCAUGCCGCGUGCGGGAAGAAGGCCUUCGGGUUGUAAACCGCUUUUGUCAGGGAAGAAACGCUCUGAGCUAAUACCUCGGGGUAAUGACGGUACCUGAAGAAUAAGCACCGGCUAACUACGUGCCAGCAGCCGCGGUAAUACGUAGGGUGCAAGCGUUAAUCGGAAUUACUGGGCGUAAAGCGUGCGCAGGCGGUCUUGCAAGACAGAUGUGAAAUCCCCGGGCUCAACCUGGGAACUGCAUUUGUGACUGCACGGCUAGAGUGCGGCAGAGGGGGAUGGAAUUCCGCGUGUAGCAGUGAAAUGCGUAGAUAUGCGGAGGAACACCGAUGGCGAAGGCAAUCCCCUGGGCCUGCACUGACGCUCAUGCACGAAAGCGUGGGGAGCAAA
rnacentral:rRNA from 1 species